UCAGUCCGAGGGCGACUCUGUCUGACGAUAUCCCUUCUGUGGUCCUGAACCCUGACCUUACCCUCCCCCUGGGUGCUCUUUGUGACUCCCUUUAUUACCAGAGCUAUAACCACCCACCAGUGGGCCGGUUUUCCUCGUUGCUGCAGAGGGCGAUAAAUGGUGCUCUCUGGCCUCAGGCAUUGAUGUGAGGAAGAGGUGCUCUCCAUCCCUGUGGAUGCACCUCCAUCCCUCACCAACUCUCCAUCCCUGUGGAUGCACCUCCAUCCCUCACCAACUCUCCAUCCCUGUGGAUCCACCUCCAUCCCUCACCAGCUCUCCAUCCCUAUGGAUCCACCUCCAUCCCUCACCACACUGGCCUGUUCAGGAGUGAAGAUGUAGUUUUUUUGUCUGCUUUCACUUGCUUGAGGAACCAUCCAUUAAUCUAUUAUCUAACAUGCUUAUUCCUGGUCAGAGUCGCUGGAGCCUAUCCCAGCAUGCACUGGGCAAGAGGUCACCUAUUAUUACAGUAAAUGGAGCAUCUUCAUGAGAAAAUAAGGCCUAAUAAGAAAUAUUGGCGUGAAAUAUGCAAGAGAGCACAGUUUAAAUCUUUGUUCAUGUCAUUUAGGUUUGUGUGUGUAGCCUAUAUCAUGAGGUUGUUGCAUCUCAAAUUGAUCACAAGACAACAACAACAACAAAAAUCACCUCUUGCAGUGGAAAGCCAGACUUUUUUUAAUGCCUCAUGCAUAGGAAAUAGUGUAAAUAUGAUGCUAUGUUCCCUGCGGAAGCCGCAAGACGUUGGGCAGCAGCUGCUGCGGUCGGUAAUCUCGUGUUCGUUGUUUGUCCUCCCUGCUGUCGCAGUUCACCUCCAAACUCCCCAGGCUCCCCGGGCGACGCCCGGACAUCUAAACGGCGGCCGGUGCUCCUGCUAAUAACGCUUUUGGGCGUAAAAAGCCACGAAAGCUGGUGCCAGAGUUACUCGCCAGGAUGCUGAUCCGACCUGUUCAUCGACAGUGAGCAACUCGUAUCGGAAGGUGACGGAGCGAUUCUUCUGCUGCCAUGGCUGUCGACAGCUCAUUGCACCACUCUGGGAACACCAGUGAGAUAAAA